UAAGACUGGGAUAACUUCGGGAAACCGGAGCUAAUACCGGAUAAUAUUUAGCUUCGCAUGAAGCAAUAGUGAAAGACGGUUCUGCUGUCACUUAUAGAUGGACCCGCGGUGUAUUAGCUAGUUGGUGAGGUAACGGCUCACCAAGGCAACGAUACAUAGCCGACCUGAGAGGGUGAUCGGCCACACUGGGACUGAGACACGGCCCAGACUCCUACGGGAGGCAGCAGUAGGGAAUCUUCCGCAAUGGACGAAAGUCUGACGGAGCAACGCCGCGUGAGUGAAGAAGGUUUUCGGAUCGUAAAACUCUGUUGUAAGGGAAGAACAAGUACGUUAGUAACUGAACGUACCUUGACGGUACCUUACCAGAAAGCCACGGCUAACUACGUGCCAGCAGCCGCGGUAAUACGUAGGUGGCAAGCGUUAUCCGGAAUUAUUGGGCGUAAAGCGCGCGUAGGCGGUCUCUUAAGUCUGAUGUGAAAGCCCCCGGCUCAACCGGGGAGGGUCAUUGGAAACUGGGAGACUUGAGUGCAGAAGAGGAGAGUGGAAUUCCAUGUGUAGCGGUGAAAUGCGCAGAGAUAUGGAGGAACACCAGUGGCGAAGGCGGCUCUCUGGUCUGUAACUGACGCUGAGGUGCGAAAGCGUGGGGAUCAACAGGAUUAGAUACCCUGGUAGUCCACGCCGUAACGAUGAGUGCUAAGUGUUGGGGGGUUUCCGCCCCUCAGUGCUGCAGCUAACGCAUUAACACUCCGCCUGGGGAGUACGUCGCAGAC
rnacentral:rRNA from 1 species